AGCAGUAGCCGCGGGAAUACGAAGGGUGCAAGCGUUACUCGGAAUUACUGGGCGUAAAGCGUGCGUAGGUGGUGGUUUAAGUCCGUUGUGAAAGCCCUGGGCUCAACCUGGGAAUUGCAGUGGAUACUGGGUCACUAGAGUGUGGUAGAGGAUAGUGGAAUUUCCGGUGUAGCAGUGAAAUGCGUAGAGAUCGGAAGGAACAUCUGUGGCGAAGGCGACUAUCUGGGCCAACACUGACACUGAGGCACGAAAGCGUGGGGAGCAAACAGGAUUAGAUACCCGCGUAGUCCCUGUCUCUUAUAC
rnacentral:rRNA from 1 species